GUCGAAGAACAACCGUUAAGCUCGGUAGCAUUGAACAGUAGCCACAAGAAAUGGUUAAAAACGGUUUGCCAUAAACAUGGAAUCACAGUAGAUACCCAGUGGAAAACCAGUUUCGGAUCUAGAAGUGGCCCCAAACUGGAGUACUUCUCCAAAAGACCUCAUUGUUUUGAUUACCACUGGAAAUUGUGACCAGGAUGGCAUUGCAAUCUAAGUUUCCCUUUACCUAGAAGUAGAAGAACUGAAACUCUUGUAGCCCAUGAUUUUUGUUAAUCCCAAUCAAAAUAAUUGGCUAUUGGUACGUGGAAAAUUGUAACCAUUCUUUUUACUGGCCCCAUGGCCUAUACCUAUGUUACUUUGUGGGACUUGCUUUUCCAUAAUACUACAAUCAAAUUAGUAAAAGCGACCGGCAGAUGUUGACAGAAGAAUAUCGAUCUCUUCCAUCGUACCAGAUGAUUCUUCUUUAAGUUUUAAAAAGGUAGUCUGGAAACUACACAUUUUAGAUGCUUCUUCAAAAAACUAGUUGAAUAGGUAGGUAUACGGCUACAUCGUCGUAGUACUUUUAGGAUAGGUGGCCCAAUGAAAACGA